GUCCUGUCCAAAAUCACACAAGUAGACAGGGGUAGCGAUAGGAUGUGGAUGUUUGUGUGACUCAGAGCCGGCUCGUGUUCCCCCAACUCACACAAGCACGGUUUACUUCAGGCUUGUGCACUGAGAAUGCCUGGCUUCUUACCUCAGCAUUUGAUAACACAUCGCUGUCACUUUCAGCUAGGUGUCAGAAGAGAAAGAUGCAAAGCUAAGUUUCCAUGGGGCACGUUGUGAUAUAAGGUCAUUUUUUCCCCUGGUUACUCUUUCCCUCCAGUGGGACCCCGCCGGUUCUGGAUGCUCAUCUUUGAGGGACGGCGCUCACCUGGUGGUCAAGAUGCAGGUGCAAGGCCCCAGGAGCCCCCUUGUGCAUCACCCUCUCUCAGCUCAGCUGUCUCCAGAGCAUCUCCAGAUCUACCGUCCAUUCAACACAAAAGCACAGCGUGGUAACAGCAGCGUGGCAGGACUGCAGAGGGCGGUUCGGACCGCUGAGAUCAAGAAGCACUUGAGAAAGAGCAGCGCUGCUGAGCCCGGAGCCCCGGGAGACUCCUUCCGCCCCGCCCCGUCGGUGAUCCCCAGCCCCGGAGCUUCCCUCUCCGGUCCUCUGCUGGAGAGGGGCCCGGGCGCCCGCACGUCUGAGCCCUGGGCCCCGCGACCGAGCUCGGGUGUGCCACCUGCGCCCUUUCUCCCGGUCCUCCGCUCCGGGUUCGCACAGCGGCCGGAGGCCCAGGGUCGGGCCCGGGGAGGCGAGCGGGCGGGGACUCGCGCCCCGUGGGUGGCCGCGUGCGGGGAGCGGGUGCAGUUUCUCCCCGCGGGGCCGAGCCCGGUCGGUCGGAAGCCCUUAGCCCGGCGGAGGGGCCGCUGUGCCGCCGGCGGGAUCCCUGGGUCCUCCGCAUCUUCGGCCUGCGGGGUAUCGGAACCGGCUCCGAUGCCCGGAGACCGCCCCAGUCUCUCCUCGCCGCCUCCCGGCUUCUCGGGGCGCACCCGGCUCCCGGGUUCCAGCGGCGGCCAGGGGCCCGGAGCUUCUGUGGGGACGGGACCCCACAUCCUGCAAGGCCCCGGACCCUCCGUGCGCGUCGCCUGCCCCACGAGCGCGGCUUCCCAGAGCGGCCGGCCGAGCGGCAGCCCCAGCCAGGAGGAUGCGGCCGCUGGAGGCGCCGUCGGACGGGGACACGGGGCCGCCUCGGCUUCUGGCUCCGCCGGCCGCCACGUCUGCAGCCCGAGGGCCGGGGACACCAAGCGAGGCGGCUUCUGUCCCUCUGGGAGCCUCAGCAGCUACUGACGACUUGAUGGGUGAGGAACUGUGCCCAGCAAGUAACUGCUGCUCAAAACUCGAUGGGCGCCAGCACACAGCAGGAAAGCGGGUACCGGACAGGGCAGCUUCACUCCCUGCUGGAGGCUGGGGACACACAGAUGAGGUUGUUGCAGCAAAAAUAGAAAUGAAGUGUUUCCUCUGUGAGAACAAGGAAAGUAAACAGCGAAGCCUAGAGAAGAAACAUGACCAGUCGUCAGAGUUAUUCGCUCCUAGUUUUAUUUGAAGUGUUACUAAUCUGUAGUGUCUGUAACCAGAAGUCCCCUAAUCUACGUAAUCUUCAUCCUGCACCACAUUUUUGCUCUCCCUACACCCUCUUGUAGCAGUCACCUCUUAGGGCUGUUUGCAUUUCGGAAGUAAGGUGGCAGGCUGAGGGACCCAGGAGACUCCGGCUGUGUACAGUCUCUCAGGUCCCCCGGGUGGGGACAGGGCACUGUUCCUGGGGUGCUAGCCUGCUGUGGGCUCCCCUUGGCCAGCUGAGGAGUAAAGCUGUCUACUUCCUCCAAAAUUCCAUCUCCGUAUUUUUUAAUUGGGCAUUGGUGGGCAGAGAAAGGCGAGAUUUUGGCAGUAACAGGGUGGCCACCCAUGAGCGGGAGGUGGGGGGUGGGGGAGCAUCCGGUGGGGGGAGGACUUGAACCCCUCACACCUCAGGCAGCUUUUGGUAAUUUGGGUUUUGUUUUUUGAGUAUAGGGUUCAUAGUCACAGCACAUAGCUCAAUCACUCUGUUUUGGAAUGGUGGUCCCUACGGGUGGGAGAGUCCACUAUAAAUGGAUAGGAUAGGCCAUUGCAUCUUAUGUCCCAUGGACCAAAUUCCAUCCCAGAUUGUGCUGGUAGGGCCUGAAAGCUAAAAAUGGUUUUUAUAUUUUUAAAUGGUUGAAAGUAAUUCUUAAAGAUAAUAUUUGCAGCAUGAAAAUUAUAUUCAUUAUACUCAUAUUCAUCCAGAUUUCAUGGUCUAUAAGUGUUUUCUUGAAGCAGGCUCUUUCAUGUACUUUUUAUCUGUGGUGCUUCUUGGAUACAAUGACUGAACUGAGAGGAUGCAACAGAUGUCAUAUGGCAAAGCUCAAAUACUUACUCUCUGGAUCUUUAUAGAAGUUUGCCCACCUCCACUGUAGAAAUAGGGUAGGUUUUUUGUUUGCUUGUUUGUUUGUUUGAACACAUAUGCUGAGAGCUAUACUUUAGAAACAUUGUGAAUUUUGUUCCCAUUACAAAUUAAUGUGAACUUAAUUCACAUUACAUUGUGAAUUUUGUUCUUGAAACAAACCUCCUGUAGGCAGAUGUAAAACUGGUUACAUUGCUCUCAGUGGUCUCAGCCAGAGUGAACACUGAGCCUGUGUACUCAGUUGCUACUCAGUUGCUAAGUUGUGUCUCUUUGUGACCCCAUGGACUGUAGCCCUGCAGGCUCUUCUGUUCGUGGGGAUUCUCCUGGCAAGAAUACUGGAGUGGGUUGCCAUGCCCUCUUCCAGGAGAUCUUCCCAACCCAGAGAUGGAACCCGGGUCUCCCCCAUUGCAGGUGGAUUCUGUACCAUCCGAGCCACCAGGAAAACCUCUCAGGAGAAUGGUCAAGCUGAAUCGAGCUCUCAGAGUGAUGUUCACUCUACUUUCUGUCUCAAAUGUCACCCCUUAAUUGAAUCUCCCACCCUUUUCUGCCUGGAUUUGUCAAAGUUUCCAUCUCUGCCUGACCUCUGCCCUCAAAGAGUCUCUCUGCAUUCCUUCCAACCUAUCCUUCCUACAGCAGAAAAUGUAACUAAAAAAAUAAAAACCCAAAUCCUCCUUAAAACUUUCA
rnacentral:lncRNA from 1 species